AGCAUAUCAAUAAGCGGAGGAAAAGAAACCAACAGGGAUUGCCCCAGUAACGGCGAGUGGAGCGGCAACAGCUCAAAUUUGAAAUCUGGCCUCGGCCCGAGUUGUAAUUUGUAGAGGAAGCUUCUGGUGCGGUGCCGUCCGAGUCUCCUGGAACGGAGCGCCAUAGAGGGUGAGAGCCCCGUAUGGACGGACGCCAAACCUGUGUGAAGCUCCUUCGACGAGUCGAGUAGUUUGGGAAUGCUGCUCUAAAUGGGAGGUAAAUUCCUUCUAAAGCUAAAUAUUGGCCAGAGACCGAUAGCGCACAAGUAGAGUGAUCGAAAGAUGAAAAGCACUUUGAAAAGAGGGUUAAACAGCACGUGAAAUUGUUGAAAGGGAAGCGCUUGUGACCAGACUUGAGCGCGGCGGAUCAUCCGGUGUUCUCACCGGUGCACUCCGCCGUGCCCAGGCCAGCAUCGGCUUCCGCGGGGGGACAAAGGUCCCGGGAACGUAGCUCCUCCGGGAGUGUUAUAGCCCGGGGCGUAAUGCCCCCGCGGGGGCCGAGGACCGCGCAUCUGCAAGGAUGCAGGCGUAAUGGUCAUCAGUGACCCGU
rnacentral:rRNA from 1 species